UGGACAGCCACCGACCCUUUGGAUCUUUUCCAAGCUCAAAUUACUAAGGCAGAAUCAAACCCUAAGGCUCAUAUUUGUAGGCAUUUAAGUCAAGAAGCUCGCAGCUGUGGUUAUUUGGUGUUAUGGUUGGAUUGUGACCGUGAAGGAGAAAAUAUUUGCUUUGAAGUUGAAGUGUUUCCUCAAGGUUUUCAACCAGAAACUAAUCACUGUUCAUACCGGAUGGACCCACGAAGGGGUAAAGCACUGGUCCAGAAAAUUCUUUUCAAAGUGCAAGUAGCAGGACUUAAACUAGGAAGCACACCUAAUCAAGCCCAGCACAAGCAAUUUGAGACCAAGAGUCCAACCAACUUGGCCAACCCCUGGGUUUACAGUGGGAAGCUACAUGUAACUAAAACACUCCCCACGUUGAAAUACCUUCCCACCCACUACAAACAAAAAAUUCUCAAUAGCUGAACUUCUCAUAGACAAAAACUCUUCCCAGUAGUUUGUUACGUGUACAAGGACUACUAUUCCUAUUUCUAAUUGAAAUAGAAUUUUUGUCAGCAGCUACUAUGCUCACAAACAAAAAUUCUUCUCAGUCGUUUAAUACGUGUACAAAGAUUACCGUUCUAUAUAUUCCUAA